rnacentral:rRNA from 1 species
AUUGAACGCUAGCGGGAUGCUUUACACAUGCAAGUCGAACGAGUGGCGGACGGGUGAUUAAUAUAUCGGAACGUUCCCAGUAGCGGGGUAUAACUACUCGAAAGAGUGGCUAAUACCGCAUACUAUUUGAGCGGCCGAUAUCGGAUUAGCUAGUUGGGUGGGUAAAGGCUCACCAAGGCAACGAUCCGUAGCUGGUUGUAGAGGACGACCGGCCCAACUGGGACUGGGGACCGGCCCAAGACCCUUCGGGAGGCAGGCGUGGGGAAUUUUGGACAAAGGGGGAAACCCUUGACCAGCCAUCCCGCGUUGAUGAGAAGGCCUUCGGGGUGUAAAGUAAUUUUGGCAGAGAAGACGUAUCUGCAGAAUAAGCACCGGCUAACUACGUGCCAGCCGCCGCGGUAAUUC